rnacentral:rRNA from 1 species
GCAGCCACGGUAAUACGAAGGGUGCAAGCGUUAAUCGGAAUUACUGGGCGUAAAGCGCGCGUUGGUGGUUCAGCAAGUUGGAUGUGAUAUCCCCGGGCUCAACCUGGGAACUGCAUCCAAUACUACUGAGCUAGAGUACGGUAGAGGGUGGUGGAAUUUCCUGUGUAGCGGUGAAAUGCGUAGAUAUAGGAAGGAACACCAGUGGCGAAGGCGACCACCUGGACUGAUAGUGACACUGAAGUGCGAAAGCGUGGGGAGCAAACAGGAUUAGAUACCCUGGUAGUCCACGCCGUAAACGAUGUCGACUAGCCGUUGGGAUCCUUGAGAUCUUAGUGGCGCAGCUAACGCGAUAAGUCGACCGCCUGGGGAGUACGGCCGCAAGGGUUAAAACUCAAAUGAUUUGACGGGGGCCCGCACAAGCGGUGGAGCAUGUGGUUUAAUUCGGAGCAACGCGAAGAACCUUACCUGGCCUUGACACGCUGAGAACUUUCCAGAGAUGGAUUGGCGCCUUCGGGAACUCAGACACAGGUGCUGCAUGGCUGUCGUCAGC